UUAUUUCUUCUGGAUUAUUUUGUUUAUUUAUAAGCAAUAUCAUGCUUGAGAAGCAGUAUCAAUGUGGAACAGCCUUUUCUCACCUUCCUCUGCCCCCUUCCCCCCAGCCUUGAUCCCUUUUGCAGUAGUUCCUGCAGUUAAAAUGGGCUUUACAGAGCAAGAGAAUCCAAUUUUAGGAGCAUGCUUAUUGUGAUAUCCUCAGUGAUUUCUUUUACAAUACAUUCUGCUCAGGCCUGUGAACUUUGUUAAACUGUCCAGGUAAGAAAAAUAUGCAUAGUCACACUUAGUUCAUAAAAAUGUUUUUCAAACAUUAGG
rnacentral:lncRNA from 1 species